GCCGGGCACCGUGCCGCACACCUGUAAUCCCAGCCGCUCAGGAGGCUGAGGCAGGAGGAUCACGAGUUCAAAGCCAGCCUCAGCAACUGCGAGGCGCUAACCAACUCAGUGAGACCCUGUCUCUA
rnacentral:sRNA from 1 species